rnacentral:rRNA from 1 species
AGCAGCCGCGGUAAUUCCAGCUCCAAUAGCGUAUAUUAAAGUUGUUGCAGUUAAAAAGCUCGUAGUUGAAUUUCGGGGUUAGUAGGUUGGUCAUGCCUCUGGUAUGUACUGGUCUCACUGAUUCCUCCUUCCUGAUGAGCCGUAAUGCCAUUAAUUUGGUGUUGCGGGGAAUUUGGACUGUUACUUUGAAAAAAUUAGAGUGUUUAAAGCAGGCUCACGCUUGAAUACAUUAGCAUGGAAUAACGAAAUAGGACGUUUGAUUCUAUUUUGUUGGUUUCUAGGAUCGACGUAAUGAUUAAUAGGGAUAGUUGGGGGCAUUAGUAUUUAAUUGUCAGAGGUGAAAUUCUUGGAUUUAUUGAAGACUAACUACUGCGAAAGCAUUUGCCAAGGAUGUUUUCAUUAAUCAAGAACGAAAGUUAGGGGAUCGAAGACGAUCAGAUACCGUCGUAGUCUUAACCAUAAACUAUGCCGACUAGGGAUCGGAUGAUGUUAAUUUUUAAUGACUCAUUCGGCGCCUUAC